AUGGCGGCGGCCUUGGCUCGGCUCGGACUCUGCUCGGUCAAGCAGGUUCGGGUUCAGUUCUGUUCCUUCAAGAAGAACUUGGAAUCGACGAAGACCUUCCACCAGGCAGUGAGCAGCGAGAAAGUUCGCUGUACGAACCUCAACUGCUCAGUGAUUGUAGAAAUGAGGCACAAGGGCUCCGAGCCUUGCGUGGACGUGCUGUUCGGAGACGGGCAUUGUUGAUUAUGCGCAGCGCGCACCUCACCGCCCACACCGCCCAGGAAAUGCUCACGGCCUUCGCCUCCCACAUCCAGGCCAAGGGCACGGCAGGAAGCAGGGACAAGCCAAGCGCCAGUACCAGGCGCUGA
rnacentral:lncRNA from 1 species